rnacentral:lncRNA from 1 species
CUGCCACAAUACUUGUAGAAGGGAGAAUAGCAUUGUGCUAUUAGCCAAAUUACUGGACAAAGUAGUCUGCAUAAUUUAUAAAUAGUAAAUCAAGAUGAGAUUUGAUGAAUCAAGGUUUGGUGAUUAAAUUAGAAAAGUAAAUCAAAAUACUAGAUAGUUGUAAAUCCUGAUAACCAGUAUGCCGAGAGGCUCCCCUUGUAGAACGAUUACCUUCCUCCCAUAUUUGUCCAGAACAUGAGAUUUUGUGACAACUGAAGUAAAACAUAAAAUGCAAAAUGAUAUAAAUAAUACCGCCCAGAAACAAAUCUGUAGAUCAAGUAAAUUUAAAACAAGGUAAAUGAGGAUCAGAUCAUGCAAGGACUUUAAAAGUUGAUACUCUCUCUGUCCCAUUGUCCCCGAUGAAAUUUCAUGCUUUAAAGGAAAAGGAUGAGAAUAAAAGGGUAAAAAGAAGUUUUACGUGGUGAGAAACCCAUUAGAAUUCAAAUUCAACGGGUAAAAUGGUAAUAUUUUUAGAGCUUGUAUUGUUUGAAAACAAAAGAGGAUGUCGUUUUGGGACAUCAAAACAAGAAAAAGGAAAAGUAAUUACUAAUUAGACAGAGGGAGUAUUGUUUAAAAUAAUCACAAAAGGUGAAGACCUAAAUAUUGCAUGCAUCUGAUUAAUAAUCUUUGGAAAAUUAUGCCCCGAUCAUCUAAUAUUAGAGACCUUUAAAUUGUCUUACAUGGAGUACAAUAUCCCAGCAAGGUAGUAUGUGAAUAUAUGAUUCUCAAUUUUAUAUCUAGGUAGAUUCUAAGCUAAAUUACUUCAUUUUAGAGCUUUUGCAAAGCUAACACAUACAAGUGAACCUUCCCGUUUUCGUCAAGGUCAACCUUGUACAUAUCUAUUCAAUGUCAUGCAUACUACACCAAAAAUAUAAGGAUUUGAAGUAUUUAGUGGGAGUUGCACAUUUUUAUGAUAUUAUGGAACCUAAUGUUUUGGACAACUUUUUACUAUUUUAAACCAUUGAAUGUUAGUUCAAUCUCUUCCCAUUAUGCCUGAUUUUGUUGAAAUAUAUAAAAUAAGUGAGAAGUGUAAAAGUCGAGGGGAAGCAAUCAAGCUUACAUUGUGAUGAGCAACCAAUAUAAGAAGCUUCAGAUACAAUAAACCCAACCAAAAGAAUAAUGAAAAGAACAUGAUUUUUAUGACCUGCACACAAAGUAUAUCAACUUCAAAUCCACUGAGGUAAAUUGCUGCCUUUAAAAGGUAACUUUGAAAAUUUUGAAAAGUAUUAUAUUGAAGUCUGUACAAGAUUUACCACAAAGGAAGUACUAUGGACCUCACAUAAUAUUUGUUACCUAUACAAUUUCCAAAAGCAGGACAAUGGUGGUCGAAUCCCUUUACAUGCACCUUGCACACUUUACAAAAUCUUACCCUCCGGACUAGUGUAGAUUCCUGAGACUAUAUAAUUUUUUUAAAUAGCAUAUAUAAUAUUUUCACUAGAUAAAUCAGAAAUGAUAUAUUAAGAUUAUGUUCCCAACUUGUAACUCUGAAAUGGUUAAUAACCUAACCAUGUUUUAAAAUCAGAAUUUUAAAAAAUAUGAUUGGUCGAAAUUACCUGAAGUAGUAAAAAGCACAUGAAAAUAGUUUUACAAGAUAAAUAUGUGCUUGCAGAUUACAUCUUUUCAAAAUACGAGAAAUAGUAUCAUUCUGGCCUAUUGCUAUUUGCUAGGCUAUAGAAUAAAUGAUAAGGAAAGAAAGUUUGUCAUGUUGUUAAUUCUUUAGAAAGAUUUCAUAUUUUCCACCUAACGAUUUUAGCAAAUGUCCCCAAAGAAACUAUUUUUCACCUAGCAAUCAAUUCAGCAGUUGUAUGAUAGUUGAGAAUACCAAAGCCAAUUCUAAAAAACUUGUUUUUAAGAUAUCAAAUGAACAUGACAACAGAACUUGGAGUUCUUUAUACUGUAAAAGUGUUAGACGGAAAUCAGCUUUACCUCUACAGCAAGGAAUCUGUCCUGCUCAUCACAGCUUGAAGGUUCCAAGUC